rnacentral:pre_miRNA from 1 species
GUGGCUGCCGGAGGGGUGCUCUCUACUAGUGCUGUGCAGAGGCUUUCGCUGAGGCUGCUGUGAGCCUGUAGGGUUUGCCCCUAGGUGCGGAGCUGG